GACCAGGUCUUUGUAGACCAGGCCCGGGAGGGUUUAAUCCUGGUGGGAAGACCUUCCUCUGAUAAAGUCACUGUUUUCCAGUGUGGCAGAGCCUAGAAUGUCAGUUUCCAGGGGGAAAAGACUGGUGUGUGAAAUGGGCAAACGCCUCUUCUGAAAUCUCUCCAAUUGCUCUUUUCACCCCGACAGGCUACAGAAUAACGUCCAUGUUUUGCUCCAGAUCGUCCCACUCUUCCACGGGAAAGGCAAUAGCUGCAGCAGAGUUAGCUGAGUUUCCAAACCUGAUGUGAUCUCCUGGCUGGAACGAGGGGAGGAGCCAUGGGUCCCAGACCUCCAGGACUCUGAGGAAAGAGAGACCCUGAGAGAUACCUGCACAACAGGUGAUGGGAUGGUGAAUGAGGUGGAAAAUCCUCAACAAGACGAUGCUGAGCAAGUAGAAGCAUAUGGGACGUUCUCAGAAAGAUCCAAAGGGAAAGUUUCCUGGAGUUGUGCACAGACAAACUACCGUGAGAGUCAGAACAGACCAGGAAAAAAGUUCAGUAGAGGCUCAGACCUUAUUCGACAUGAGAGAAUCAACACAGGAGGAACACCCUUCAUCAUCCAUCACAGAAUCCACACUGGAGAGAGACCAGACGCAUGCCCC